AAUAGAUACCCCGGUAGUCCACGCCCUAAACUAUGUCAACUGGUUGUCGGGGAAGCAAUUCCUUGGUAACGAAGCUAACGCGUGAAGUUGACCGCCUGGGGAGUACGGCCGCAAGGUUAAAACUCAAAGGAAUUGACGGGGACCCGCACAAGCGGUGGAUUAUGUGGAUUAAUUCGAUGCAACGCGAAAAACCUUACCUACCCUUGACAUGCCAGGAACCUCGCAGAGAUGUGAGGGUGCCCGAAAGGGAACCUGGACACAGGUGCUGCAUGGCUGUCGUCAGCUCGUGUCGUGAGAUGUUGGGUUAAGUCCCGCAACGAGCGCAACCCUUGCCAUUAGUUGCCACAUUCAGUUGGGCACUCUAAUGGGACUGCCGGUGACAAACCGGAGGAAGGUGGGGAUGACGUCAAGUCCUCAUGGCCCUUAUGGGUAGGGCUUCACACGUAAUACAAUGGACGGUACAGAGGGCAGCCAACUCGCGAGAGGGAGCUAAUCCCAGAAAGCCGUUCGUAGUCCGGAUUGCAGUCUGCAACUCGA
rnacentral:rRNA from 1 species